GGGGGUGACUGGUUUCGACGGGGUUGAGAAUGGGCAGACAAGCAUACCGUGCUCGUUACAUGCACGUUAAUAUCGUGACAAAAACAUAAAUGCAGAUAACUACGGUUACGCACUCGCCGCUUAAUUAGCCGCGAGCGCCAAUACAAACCUCGCCUGACAGGUUUGUAACGGCGUCGACUACGUCAGGAUCGUCGGUGCAAUGUCUCGGUGGCACCGAUUAAAUUCCAAUUCCGGGACUGCACUUUGCAGGUUUUGAGUUCAGCCAUAAUGCAAAGUAAAGAACUUUUGCUGAACUGAGUAUGGAGAUGGUCUGCUGGUUUUCACUUCGGACCGGGGUUCGAAUCCCCGCACCUCCACAU
rnacentral:tmRNA from 1 species